GUUGAACACUAACAUCAGACAAAAUGUUGUCCUUCUGACAGCUGGACACAAUGCGCAGAACUAUGACAACAGUUUGAGAGGCAUUUUGCAUCAUGUUUGUCCAGAUAAACAUGUCUCAGAUGAAUAGCUCCUACAGUCCCAAAAACAAGAUCGCCAAUGGAAGAUUGACUGAAAGGCCUUCGGCGCUACCAUAAACUGCUCCUGGUCCGUUUC